rnacentral:lncRNA from 1 species
GUGUGUGUGUGUGUGACCCGAAAAUAUAAAAGUAUUAAAAAAAAUUGACCCUGACACCAAAAUAUAUGCAUAAUUUAGUAAUAAUUUUGACCCAUAUUAUUUCUGGCUUUGCCGCUAGUUGAGCCAAUUUGAGCUUGAAGGCCUGGGUUCUCUAUUCCAUGUUAAUUCCAUAAAUCAAUAGGAAUUAAAGAUAAGUAAGGUUACAUCCAUCAAUUAAAUUCUAGUCAAAACUCUAAGAAACAAUAAUAAUAUACUAUUAAAAAUUAGUAGUAUAAUCAAACUAAUGACAUAACAACAGAAGUAACUCGCAUUACAAAAAAUUAGCUCAGCUCAGCUCGUUACAAAAUAGGAAAACCAAACUAUAAAAUCACAUCCAUAUCGCAGAGACAUGUUCUGCCUCCAUUAAUCAAACAUCCACCGGACUCAUAAAACGCCGCCGGUGAGCCGUACAAGACUUCCUACCUAGAACGGUUGCGUCUCUGCCGUGGGAACAGAAACGCAGAAAAGUAGCCAAUUUGAGAACAAUGUUCCUAAGAACUUGACCCCUUUUUGGAAUCAAGCGAGGUGCGGUGAUCGGACGGAUUCUUUGUGAUGGCGACGGAGGUUGGCUGCGUAGGGCGGUAGCAGCCAUUAAUUUUGUGUUUGGGACGUGGAAGAUCGAAUCCGUCACAGUAGUGGCGGAGAAAGAACAAUGAAUAUAUAGGGGAGUGUUUCAGCCGCGUUUACGAGUAAAUUGGCGUGUGUUAUUAAUUCUUUCGAAUAAAAUAAUGUAUACAUUUCCUACGUGCUCUUACUUUUGCAUCGCUGACAUAAAUUUUCCUAUCUAAUUUUGAUAUUUUCACAUUAUCUUCUUUCAUAAGAAAACAAAAUAAAUUUCAUUUACAUGUGAAAAUAAUAUCAAAAUUAUAUAUAAAAAUAUCAUUUCCCUAUUCUCAAACUUAUUUAAUCCUAUGACCACUAUAUAAUUAAUUAAUACUCCUUGCAGUCCCAUUUGAUUUUAAUUUAGUUAAUCUGUGAAAUUCUAAAAUUUAAAUUAUGAUGUAUACUUUUUUUAGUUUGUAAAAUAAAAAAAAAUAUCUCCAAUAUUUUUUGAAUAAUUUAAAAUUUUAAUACUGACAUUAAUUAAAAUCAAAUAAAUUCACGUCGGUUAAAAAUUUUAAAUGAGAUUCUUUUGUAGAUUCAAGUCCUCCAUAAUACUCUCCUUUCUAUUAUAUAAGUUAUUUUAGAAUAUAUGACGUUUUAUAUAUAUUUAAGAGAAAAAAAUAUAUUUUUUUUAUUUUGUCCCUAAAAAAAUAGAGUAAUUGAGAGACGAGGAAGGAUAAUUAAUUAGUGCAUGAAUAAUAAUAAAAUUUUAAACUAGCAUUAAUUAUCUAACAUUAGAAUUAAUGACAUUUAUUAAUAUGUGUGAUUAUGUCUUAAAAUGUCAUAUAUAUAUAUAUAUAUAUAUAUAUAUAUAUAUAUAUAUUGGAAAAUAUGGAGGUACACAACCGUGUAACUUUUAAAGUUGCAUAGUCUACGAUCGUAGAGUGGUCACUCCACGAUUUGUGAAUUCACUCUACGAUUGUGGAUUACUCUACGAUCAUAGAGUGAAAUCACUCUACGAUCGUAGACCGUGUAACUUUAAAAGUUACACGACUGGGUACCUCCAUUUUUAUCAUAUAUAUUAUUGAACAACUUGUUGGGACAUGUUGGUCUUUAGCUGUGCCGCAACAAUCUCUUUUACUGCUACAAUAACUUGUUGCGACAGUGGAAAAAUGAAUUGUUAGAAUCAUACUCCCUCCGUUUCUUAAUAUAAGUCGUUUUAGAAAAAUAUUUUUGUUCUUUAAUAUAAGUCGUUUGAGAAUUUCAAGUAAGCAUUAAUUGCUUAGUUUCCAAUAUUACCCCAAGUAUUAAAUAUAACUUUGGUUCUCUCACUAUUUUCUAUCCAAUAAAUAGCAAUCUCUUCUUCCAAUACAAGGGUAAUAUAGACAAUCGAUAUUAUAGUUAAUGUUAUAUAAUCAUUUCAUUAAUACUUGUACACAACUCUAAAACGACCUAUAUUAAGGAACAGAGUGAGUAAUUGUUAGAAUAAUGUUCAUAAUAACCAAUUGCUAUAAAUGAAAACUCUCUCUCUCUAUAUAUAUAUAUAUAAGGGAAAGGAGGGAGUACAAAAUUUUUCCAUUUUUUGUAAUGAACUCUCGUAAAAUUUAGUGCUAUUCAUUAGUUGAAUGGUGGAGAUAUGAACCCACUUUGGCAGCAUAAACAGCGUAGGGAUUUCUGCAAGGCAAAAGGCUGCAGUGGUUUUCCCCUAGGUUGACUACUGAGUAACGUGUGGGGUGUCAUGUUUUGGAAGAUAUUGAAGGACAAACUAGUAUUUCUCACUUAAUUUAUUUGACAAUACUAUAUAUGUACUCCCUCGAAUGCCAUAUUUACAUGUUGGCCGCGCGCGUUUCUAUUUUCAGUUGCCCCAUAAUUAUUGGCUAGCACCAAAAGUCAAGGAAGCAAAAAUUGCAUAACACAACCUUGAAUAUAAAACACAAGUUGCACUAUAUUGUACGUAGAUGUCUUUUAACUUGUCAAAUAUGAAACACAAAAGUUACAAAGACUAGCUAGGAGAAAAAGUCUAAAUCAAUAAGAAAGCUUGAAUCUUUUCUCAAGGUGAAAGAGAAUAGAGUUUGUACUUUGAAUCAUGUGAAUUCAAAGGUUUAUACAAAUGAUCAAUAAAUAAAUAAAUAGGUAUUUAUAAAGUUGGCUACAUGUAGAACUACAACUCUUCUCGACAUAAUUCUAUGUCAGAUUACAAAUAAUCCCCAAAAAUCAACAGAUGAUCCUUUUAAAAAAUGACCUAAUGCCAAAAAAGCUUCCUCAAGUUUGAGUCUCAGGAGCCAGCAAGUAUGGUAUGAUCAAAAUCCAAGCUCGAGUCUUUAGCAAAAGAAUCUAAAGCAUUCUUCAAACUACCUUCCUAACAAAAAGUAAUCAGACCUUUUUUCUAUGACAAAUAAUUUGAGAAGCAAAAAGGGGGGAAAUACGCCUUAAAGACUGACCAACUACUCACACUUAAUAGAUCGAUAUAUGUGACGAACAAAGACUAAAGCCGCCCAAAAUCCAAUAGCCCCAAGCAUGAGAAAGAAACCAUAGCAGAUGCAAGCCAUGUAUCCAAAGAAGAAUGAGAUUUGCAUGAAACCAGACAUAUCAGAUCUUGCAUAGUAGUAGUACAAGCAGUAGCCAUAAAUAAAUAUGCCAGUUGAUCCACCACAAAGAAACGACCUAUUCCAAAUAAAAACACAGCCCAUGAGACAAUAAAAGCUCAUAUUGCAAAACUGAUCAUCGACAAAGAUACUAAAACAUGUCAUGCCAUGGGUCUAUGGAGGUUGAGGAAUGUUCCUUAAAGAGAGGCCUGUGAAGAGGUGAAACAUCCCAAAGAAACAUAUAUUGUUGGAUACCAUUUCACCAAGCUUGCAAGGACUAUUUCAUAUUUCAAACAACAUCAUGCUUCAGCAAUAAAUGAUUCUUAUCAUAAGGAAAACUCCACUGAAACAGAAGCAAUAACUAUAUAACAUAGCAGCAUAUCAUACCUUGUGAGAUAUAUUAAAAAGAAAAUGUUUUCCUAGAGAAUAAUAUGCCAGUUAAGAACAUUAAUAAAUGCUAUCAUUGUUGCAGAACGAGAGAAGAACAAAAGCAUGGAUAUAACAAGAAACUUGUUACCUCCACCACCAUUCAUGAUCUUCAGCAGCAAGUUGAAAGUAUGUCAAAGCCACAGUAAUGAAUGCAGUCACAAUUAGAAGAAUGAGAAAGACAAUAAAAAGGAUGCUGUAUAUUGUAUAGAUCCUGUGACCCCAUACACUGGCAAAUAUGUAGUAAAGCUCAAUGUAGAUGGCACUGAAUGGCAAAAACCCAGCCAUUGCCAUCUGAGGAAGUGUACUCCUGUACCAAGGGAGCUCUGGAAUCUCUCUAGGAUACUUUGUGGUGCGGCAUGGAGCUUGGAACUCAGUUUUACUGUUUUUCCCAGCAACCCCACCCAACGCAUGUAAUGGUAAUGUUACUAAAGUCCAUAUAAGGAUUAUAACCACAAUUGUUCCAAAUGGCAGUGCUGCAGUAGAGCUGUAAGCUAUGGCGAC